rnacentral:rRNA from 1 species
UACGUAGGGGGCUAGCGUUGUCCGGAAUCAUUGGGCGUAAAGCGCGCGUAGGCGGCCCGGUAAGUCCGCUGUAAAAGUCCAGGGCUCAACCCUGGAAGGCCGGUGGAUACUGUCGGGCUCGAGUCCGGAAGAGGCGAGUGGAAUUCCUGGUGUAGCGGUGGAAUGCGCAGAUAUCAGGAGGAACACCGAUGGCGAAGGCAGCUCGCUGGGACGGUACUGACGCUGAGGCGCGAAAGCGUGGGGAGCGAACAGG